CCCCCCCCCCAUUAGUUAGCUACAGUAAUGUGCAUCUAUCCCCCCCUUUAGUUAACAGUAAUUGGAUACAUUAUGAGGAUUUUAUUUUAUUGCCAAUCAAAUAUUUUCUGGACUAGAGCAUUAUUUUAGGGCUGAAGUAAUCCCACCUGGACUAGAGGCAUUAUUUUAGGGCUUGAAGUAAAACCUGUCGACCAGCCUGUCUGGGACUAAAGGCCUUAAUCCAGAACUAAUUCAUCAUAGGAAAUCAUCAAACAGUCCAAACACUUCUACAGGUUUUUAAUUCAUCGACAGCUAAAGACAAAACACUUAGGAAAAAAAUAAAUACAUACGAUAUGACAAAUGGGGCUCUCCAAUACAGUACAAUGUUAACUAUGUAGCAGUUAAAGUCAGGUGGUCCGUGCAAAGCCCAUGCUAGAGCCAUAUAACAAAUGGCUUUUACAUAGUCAUGAUAUGAUAUAUUAUAUAUAUAAUAUACUCUAUAUAUAGCUAAUACAGUCCUGCAUAUUGUUCCAACCAGGCUGGAUGAGUCCUGCUAUUGUCCAACAGGCUGGUGGAAUCCUGCUUGUCCAACCAGGCUGGAUGAGUCCUGCUAUUGUCCAACCAGGUGGAUGGAAUCCGCUAUUGUCCACCAGCUGGAUGGAAUCCUGCUAUUGUCCAACCAGGCUGGAUGGGAUAUCUAUUGUCCAACCAGGGGAUGAAUCCUGUUUGUCCAACCAGGCUGGAUGGAGUCCUGCUAUUGUCCAACCAGGCUGGAUGGAGUCCUGCUAUUGUCCAACCAGGCUGAUGGAAUCCUGCUAUUGUCCAAACCCAGCUGGAUGGAAUCCUGCUAUUGUUCCAACCAGCUGGAUGGAAUCC
rnacentral:lncRNA from 1 species